GAUGAACGCUGGUGGCGUGCCUAAUACAUGCAAGUCGAGCGAACAGACGAGGAGCUUGCUCCUCUGACGUUAGCGGCGGACGGGUGAGUAACACGUGGAUAACCUACCUAUAAGACUGGGAUAACUUCGGGAAACCGGAGCUAAUACCGGAUAAUAUAUUGAACCGCAUGGUUCAAUAGUGAAAGACGGUUUUGCUGUCACUUAUAGAUGGAUCCGCGCCGCAUUAGCUAGUUGGUAAGGUAACGGCUUACCAAGGCAACGAUGCGUAGCCGACCUGAGAGGGUGAAUGGCCAGCUUGGAACUGAGACACGGUCCAGACUCCUACGGGAGGCAGCAGUAGGGAAUCCUCCGCAAAGGGCGAAAGCCUGACGGAGCAACGCCGCGUGAGUGAUGAAGGUCUUCGGAUCGUAAAACUCUGUUAUUAGGGAAGAACAAAUGUGUAAGUAACUAUGCACGUCUUGACGGUACCUAAUCAGAAAGCCACGGCUAACUACGUG
rnacentral:rRNA from 1 species